GUAUGCAAUCUACCUUUCACAGAGGGAUAGCCCAGAGAAAUUUGGAUUAAUACCUCAUAGUAUAACGACUCGGCAUCGAGAUGUUAUUAAAGUCACAACGGUGAAAGAUGAGCAUGCGUCCCAUUAGCUUGUUGGUAAGGUAACGGCUUACCAAGGCUACGAUGGGUAGGGGUCCUGAGAGGGAGAUCCCCCACACUGGUACUGAGACACGGACCAGACUCCUACGGGAGGCAGCAGUGAGGAAUAUUGGACAAUGGGCGCAAGCCUGAUCCAGCCAUGCCGCGUGCAGGAUGACGGUCCUAUGGAUUGUAAACUGCUUUUGUACGAGAAGAAACACUGCUUCGUGAAGCAGCUUGACGGUAUCGUAAGAAUAAGGAUCGGCUAACUCCGUGCCAGCAGCCGCGGUAAUACGGAGGAUCCAAGCGUUAUCCGGAAUCAUUGGGUUUAAAGGGUCCGUAGGCGGUUUAGUAAGUCAGUGGUGAAAGCCCAUCGCUCAACGGUGGAACGGCCAUUGAUACUGCUGAACUUGAAUUAUUAGGAAGUAACUAGAAUAUGUAGUGUAGCGGUGAAAUGCUUAGAGAUUACAUGGAAUACCAAUUGCGAAGGCAGGUUACUACUAAUGGAUUGACGCUGAUGGACGAAAGCGUGGGUAGCGAACAGGAUUAGAUACCCUGGUAGUCCACGCCGUAAACGAUGGAUACUAGCUGUUGGGGGCAACUUCAGUGGCUAAGCGAAAGUGAUAAGUAUCCCACCUGGGGAGUACGUUCGCAAGAAUGAAACUCAAAGGAAUUGACGGGGGCCCGCACAAGCGGUGGAGCAUGUGGUUUAAUUCGAUG
rnacentral:rRNA from 1 species